GACGAACGCUGGCGGCGUGCCUAAUACAUGCAAGUCGACAACAGCGGCGGACGGGUGAGUAACACGUAAGGAACCUACCGAUAAGCGGGGGACAACAUCCGGAAACGGGUGCUAAUACCGCAUACUUAUCGAUGGCCUUGCGGUGCAUUAGCUCGUUGGUGGGGUAACGGCCUACCAAGGCCAUGAUGAAUAGCCGACCUGAGAGGGUAAGCGGCCACAGUGGGACUGAGACACGGCCCAAAGUCCUACGGGAGGCAGCAGUAGGGAAUCUUCGGCAAUGGACGAAAGUCUGACCGAGCAACGCCGCGUGAGUGAAGAAGGUUGUCGGAUCGUAAAACUCUGUUGUUAGAGAAGCGGUAUCUAACCAGAAAGCCACGGCUAACUACGUGCCAGCAGCCGCGGUAAUUC
rnacentral:rRNA from 1 species